CUGGCUAACAACUCACAGGUGCCUGAAAUCAGCAGUUCUGAGUUCAGGGGAUAGAGCAGUACUACUUUUCCUCUUUCUUUCUUUUAGCUCUAGCUGAGUCAGGCAUUUUCCAGAAGCUGAAGGUUGAUGCUGAACUGCUGAAGCUGGAGGAGCCAGAUGAAAGAGAGCAUGGUGAGGAGGAGUAUCAGGCUAUGACACACAUGUUAUUUUGGAAAAACUUUUCAUAUGAUUAUUUAUUUUUCUAAUCCACCAUUUUUGGAAUAAGCUGAGAUUAGCCCAACUAAUGUUAACAUCAGUUCUAGGCUUGAAUCCAGACUUUUCAAGAUCUCUAAAUUCCUUCAGAGAUGCUUAGAGGGAUAGAAUCCAGCUGAAUCAUAGUCUCCCAACCAGCUCUUCCUUACCCGUGAAAACUACAGUCAAAGGAGGACUAAUCCAAGGGAUUGCAAAGACUCUUUGGUCCAGACAUCAGUUUAUCUAGGCAGUCACCACUGAUGGUCCAAGUUCAUCCACUUGGUCCUGAGAAAACCUUCUCAAAGUGCCUGGGGGAAAAUCCGUGGUUUCACUGAGACACCAAUGAGCAUGAAUAAUAGAGAAGACCACACCUUGGAUGACACUUUGAGAAUCUGAUAGAAUUGAUUCCCCCUCUCACCUGGCACCAUCCGGGCAGAACCAAAGACCAGCUUGCCUGCUUGAUCUGAGCAGCACAGAGUGACAGAGAAAACGACUGUUUUGUGAAUGAUCAACCUCACUCAAAGUUGACAUUUUAACAUUGCAGAUGAUCAGCACCAUUAUGAGGCCAUAUGAGUAACUGCUAAAACUUGAGGGAUAUUUCUAAUGAAAUGUCUUCCCAUUAUCUCUCUCCAUCUGAGAACCAAGGCCAUGUCCCUGGACAUAAAAACCCACUUACUUGGGCAAAGCAUCCUGGGUAACCAGAAGUCAGCAUGCUAAACCUUUGUGUGGGUAUAUGCCUAUUGUAUGCACAUCUGCCAAGAUCUUAGGAUGCCCGUAACUGCCAAAUGGAUAUGGCUACAUAUUAAAGCUACUGUUCAUAAUCAUA